rnacentral:rRNA from 1 species
UGGCGGACGGGUGAGUAAUGUCUGGGAAACUGCCUGAUGGAGGGGGAUAACUACUGGAAACGGUAGCUAAUACCGCAUAACGUCGCGAGACCAAAGAGGGGGACCUUCGGGCCUCUUGCCAUCGGAUGUGCCCAGAUGGGAUUAGCUAGUAGGUGGGGUAACGGCUCACCUAGGCGACGAUCCCUAGCUGGUCUGAGAGGAUGACCAGCCACACUGGAACUGAGACACGGUCCAG